GACGAACGCUGGCGGCGUGCUUAACACAUGCAAGUCGAGCGAUGAAGCACCUUCGGGUGUGAAUUAGCGGCGAACGGGUGAGGAACACGUGAGAAAUCUGCCUUCAACACUGGGAUAACUCCGGGAAACCGGGGCUAAUACCGGAUAUGAAACCUGCGGGCAUCCGCGGGUUUGGAAAGUUUUUCGGUUGAAGAUGAUCUCGCGGCCUAUCAGCUUGUUGGUGAGGUAAUGGCUCACCAAGGCGACGACGGGUAGCCGGCCUGAGAGGGCGACCGGCCACACUGGGACUGAGACACGGCCCAGACUCCUACGGGAGGCAGCAGUGGGGAAUAUUGGGCAAUGGAGGAAACUCUGACCCAGCGACGCCGCGUGCGGGAUGAAGGCCUUCGGGUUGUAAACCGCUUUCAGCAGGGAAGAAGCGAAAGUGACGGUACCUGCAGAAGAAGCACCGGCUAACUAUGUGCCAGCAGCCGCCGUAA
rnacentral:rRNA from 1 species